GCGCCCUUAGCUCAGAUGGAUAGAGUAUUUGACUACGGAUCAAAGGGUCGGAGGUUCGAAUCCUUCAGGGCGCGCCA
rnacentral:tRNA from 7 species